UACGUAGGGACCGAGCGUUGUCCGGAAUCACUGGGCGUAAAGGGCGCGUAGGCGGCCGGCCAAGUCGGGGGUGAAAGCCUGUGGCUCAACCACAGAAUGGCCUUCGAUACUGGGACGCUUGAGUAUGGUAGAGGUUGGUGGAACUGCGAGUGUAGAGGUGAAAUUCGUAGAUAUUCGCAAGAACACCGGUGGCGAAGGCGGCCAACUGGACCAUUACUGACGCUGAGGCGCGAAAGCGUGGGGAGCAAACAGG
rnacentral:rRNA from 1 species